UACGUAGGGGGCAAGCGUUGUCCGGAAUCAUUGGGCGUAAAGCGCGUGUAGGCGGCUCGAUAAGUCUGCUGUGAAAGUCCAGGGCUCAACCCUGGGAUGCCGGUGGAUACUGUCGAGCUCGAGUCCGGAAGAGGAGUGUGGAAUUCCUGGUGUAGCGGUGAAAUGCGCAGAUAUCAGGAGGAACACCGGUGGCGAAGGCGGAUCUCUGGGCCAUUACUGACGCUGAGGAGCGAAAGCGUGGGGAGCGAACAGG
rnacentral:rRNA from 1 species